rnacentral:rRNA from 1 species
CGGAUCUUUGAGAGCGGCGUACGGGUGCGGAACACGUGUGCAACCUGCCUUUAUCAGGGGGAUAGCCUUUCGAAAGGAAGAUUAAUACCCCAUAAUAUAAUGAGUGGCAUCACUUAUUAUUGAAAACUCCGGUGGAUAGAGAUGGGCACGCGCAAGAUUAGAUAGUUGGUAGGGUAACGGCCUACCAAGUCAGUGAUCUUUAGGGGGCCUGAGAGGGUGAUCCCCCACACUGGUACUGAGACACGGACCAGACUCCUACGGGAGGCAGCAGUGAGGAAUAUUGGACAAUGGGUGAGAGCCUGAUCCAGCCAUCCCGCGUGAAGGACGACGGCCCUAUGGGUUGUAAACUUCUUUUGUAUAGGGAUAAACCUUUCCACGUGUGGAAAGCUGAAGGUACUAUACGAAUAAGCACCGGCUAACUCCGUGCCAGCAGCCGCGGUAAUACGGAGGGUGCAAGCGUUAUCCGGAUUUAUUGGGUUUAAAGGGUCCGUAGGCGGAUCUGUAAGUCAGUGGUGAAAUCUCAUAGCUUAACUAUGAAACUGCCAUUGAUACUGCAGGUCUUGAGUAAAGUAGAAGUGGCUGGAAUAAGUAGUGUAGCGGUGAAAUGCAUAGAUAUUACUUAGAACACCAAUUGCGAAGGCAGGUCACUAUGUUUUAACUGACGCUGAUGGACGAAAGCGUGGGGAGCGAACAGGAUUAGAUACCCUGGUAGUCCACGCCGUAAACGAUGCUAACUCGUUUUUGGGUUUUCGGAUUCAGAGACUAAGCGAAAGUGAUAAGUUAGCCACCUGGGGAGUACGUUCGCAAGAAUGAAACUCAAAGGAAUUGACGGGGGCCCGCACAAGCGGUGGAUUAUGUGGUUUAAUUCGAUGAUACGCGAGGAACCUUACCAAGGCUUAAAUGGGAAUUGACAGGUUUAGAAAUAGACUUUUCUUCGGACAAUUUUCAAGGUGCUGCAUGGUUGUCGUCAGCUCGUGCCGUGAGGUGUUAGGUUAAGUCCUGCAACGAGCGCAACCCCUGUCACUAGUUGCCAUCAUUCAGUUGGGGACUCUAGUGAGACUGCCUACGCAAGUAGAGAGGAAGGUGGGGAUGACGUCAAAUCAUCACGGCCCUUACGCCUUGGGCCACACACGUAAUACAAUGGCCGGUACAGAGGGCAGCUACCUAGCGAUAGGAUGCGAAUCUCGAAAGCCGGUCUCAGUUCGGAUUGGAGUCUGCAACUCGACUCUAUGAAGCUGGAAUCGCUAGUAAUCGCGCAUCAGCCAUGGCGCGGUGAAUACGUUCCCGGGCCUUGUACACACCGCCCGUCAAGCCAUGGAAGUUUGGGG